rnacentral:misc_RNA from 1 species
CGCAUCUUGCACCUUGGGGUAUUCCCUAAGGUAUGUCUGUCUGAGUGUUAUUUGAACUCUCAAAGUCCCUUUCCUUUGAUCGGGUCGGGGUUCUUUGGAUCUUGGGUUUGCGAUGUGCUCACCUCAAAUAGAAUGUGGCAUUCGCCUCUGAAGCCGCCGUCGGGUCUGACCUGGAGUGAUAGAAGUCUUUCGAGAUCUCUGGGGAACCGUCUCAGGGCGGUGCCUGUGGUGGUGGGAGGGAGUGUCUUGCAGACUCAUAUUGACGUUUUUGACCUCAGAUCAGGCAGGACUACCCACUGAACUUAA